CAUAUGGGGCUUGAAACACCAGUUGCCAUACGAUCACUGAAGUUAAGCAGUGUCAAGCCUGGUCAGUACCUAGAUGGGAGACUGCUUGGGAAUGCCAGGUGCUAUA